GGAUGGCUUAGAGGAGAUAGAGGAUGAGAAGGAUAAAUAGAUGAGGAGGAAGGAGAGAAAGUGAAAGGAAAGGAAUAGGUGGAGGUGAAGGGAGCUACCAUAGAAGAGGAGAAAUGGAUGAGGAAGGAGAAGAGGAGGAAGGAGGGAGAAAGAGGGAUGUUGGUGAUGGAGGAGGGGAUCAAUCAGAGAGGAAGGAGAAAGAUGAUGGAAAUAA
rnacentral:lncRNA from 1 species